CCUGCUGCUCCCUCACCCCACAGGAUCCCAGCCCUGCUGCGAGGACAGGUGUCAGGCAGGGGGCAGUGUUGACCUGCCGGCCCCAGGCAGGUGGCUCACGCCCAGGCCAGAACCCUGGCACAGCCCAACCCUGCCCUCUGCCGGCACUGCCCCUCCACAUCACGCCCCUGCUCACUGCCAUGUCCUCUGGCCACACAGGUAGGACCACCGGGCAGCUGCCACCUGCAUGCCGUUCACAGAACCUGGUCCGGGGCGCUCCUCUGAGCCAGCCGCCUCUUUAUCCCUUACAGUGACCCUGAAGGGCGGCGGAGGCGGGGCUGGUCUCAGGUCUGGGCUUUACGCUCUGCUGCCACUGUCUUGACAUUUUAAAUACAUUUUGAAUCAGGGGACUCUCAUUUUCAUUUUGCGUGGGCUCCGCCAUUGAGGCCAAAUCCGACGCCAGAGGCGGUACUUCCUGCUGUAACCACCCCAGGACGCAGCUGGGGGGCAGGGGCGCGGGAAGGUGGGAGACCUGGAGCAGCCGGGGUCCCCGGGGUCCUCUCGGCCGGCUUCACCCCCACCCCUGGGAACCCGGGAAGAGCCGGCUUUCGCUUCCUGUCUAUUAAACCCUUUAAAGGAAGAGGGUAAAUAAAACCGCCCGUCUGCCCAGCUGGAAAGCGAUGACUCAGCCGCCCCGCCGACCCUCGCCCCAGGCUGAUCCCAGAGAGCGGGCGUCGCGGCCCAGCCCGGACCCCUCGGCUCCCGGGACCUCUCUCCGGUCCAGGUCGUGGGGACGCGGUCGGAGCAGUCCGUCCCCCAGUUCGGGACACCGCGAGGGCGCAGGGAGGAGAGCCGGCUUCCUCUUCCCCUCCCAUGUACUGAGCUCUAUGGGUUGCUGUUCUAGCCCUUUCCACGUGUUCCCUAAUCCGGCGAAGGUUACUGUUCCCCCUGGGAAGGGCCCCCGAAGAGGACGGAACGGCCAGCGCUCGGGAUCCUACGCCCGGCACGCCAUGAAGUCCCCCGACGAGGUGCUACGCGAGGGCGAGCUGGAGAAGCGCAGCGACAGCCUCUUCCAGCUAUGGAAGAAGAAGCGCGGCGUGCUCACCUCCGACCGCCUGAGCCUGUUCCCCGCCAGCCCCCGCGCGCGCCCCAAGGAGCUGCGCUUCCACUCCAUCCUCAAGGUGGACUGCGUGGAGCGCACCGGCAAGUACGUGUACUUCACCAUCGUCACCACGGACCACAAGGAGAUCGACUUCCGCUGCGCGGGCGAGAGCUGCUGGAACGCGGCCAUCGCGCUGGCGCUCAUCGAUUUCCAGAACCGCCGCGCCCUGCAGGACUUUCGCAGCCGCCAGGAACGCACCGCACCCGCCGCGCUCGCCGCACCCGCCGAGGCCGCCGAGGCCGCCGUGGCCGCCGCACCCUCCGAGCCCUCCGGGCCAUCUCCGCAGCCCAAGCCCCGCACGCCAUGAGCCCGCCGCUGGCCAUACGCUGGACGAGUCGGACCGAGGCCAGGACGUGGCCGGCGCUCUCCAGCUCCGCAGCAGCAGAACUUCCCGUGCGCGCGGAUCCUUGCUCCGUUGCACGGGCGCCUUAAGUUAUUGGACUAUCUAAUAUCUAUGUAUUUAUUUCACUGGUUCUUUGUAGUCACAUAUUUUAUAGUCUUAAUAUCUUGUUUUUGCAUCACUGUGCCCAUUGCAAAUAAAUCACUUGGCCAGUUUGCUUUUCUACCAUUCGGCUGUGGCUCAGUGAGGUUCCUGCUGGGAGGGUGGAGGCCCAGGAAUGGGUGGGCAGGACACCCUCAUCCAGUCCUGCGGGGCUGGCGUGAAAGGCGCUGGGAACCGGCUUUGAAUGAAUAAAUGAAUCGUCUCAUCUGCUGAGCCUGGUCCACACCCUCUUUUCUAAGUAGCCUCCCCAGAGGCCAGGAAGUGCCCUGGGGCUUGACCCUGG
rnacentral:lncRNA from 1 species